rnacentral:rRNA from 1 species
ACAACGGAGAGUUUGAUCCUGGCUCAGGACGAACGCUGGCGGCGUGCCUAACACAUGCAAGCCGAGGGGAAAGCCUGCUUCGGCGGGUGAGUAUACUGGCGGACGGGUGAGUAACGCGUAGGCAACCUACCCCUAUGACCGGGAUAACUCCGGGAAACCGGGGCUAAUACCGGAUGUGGUCACGCUGGCGCAUGCUGGUGUGAUUAAAGCUGGUUCCUAAGAGCUAGCGCAUAGGGAUGGGCCUGCGUCCCAUUAGCUAGUUGGUGGGGUAGUGGCCCACCAAGGCGACGAUGGGUAGCUGGCGUGAGAGCGCGACCAGCCACACUGGGACUGAGACACGGCCCAGACUCCUACGGGAGGCAGCAGUGGGGA